GUUCACCAGAAGGUGAUGGAAGUUCAACGAUAGAUGAUGAUGGAGGUUCAUCGACGGAUGAUGUCGAUGGUUCAUCGAUAGAUGAUAAUGGAGGUUCAUCGACGGAUGAUGUCGAUGGUUCAUCGAUAGAUGAUUUUGGUUCACCAGAAGGUGAUGGAGGUUCAUUGAUAGAUGAUGAUGGAGGUUCAUCGACGGAUGAUGUCGAUGGUUCAUCGAUAGAUGAUUUUGGUUCACCAGAAGGUGAUGAAGGUUCUUCGUUAGAUGAUGAUGGAGGUUCAUCGACGGAUGAUGUCGAUGGUUCAUCGAUAGAUGAUUUUGGUUCACCAGAAGGAAGUAGAGGUUCAUCAAUAGAUGAUGGUUUACCAGAAGGUAGUAAAGAUUCACGGCAAGGUUGUCCAUCGGAAGAUGAUAAUGGUUCAUCAGAAGGUGGAAAAGGUUCGCCAAAAGGCGGUUCGUCGAUAGAUGGCAACCGAGCUUCUUCGACAGAUGACAACCGAGGAUCGUCGAAAGAUGAUUACAGAGGUUUGAUCUUGAAUUUUUACGAAGCAAUCCGUUCAAAGGCAUACAGAGCUUCACAGGGAUAUCUGGUUUCUAUGACAAGAACAGAUGUUUGUUUUGCUUUAAAUAUCUCAAGUCAAUUUCAGAGUGAUCCUCGUGAACCCCACUGGACAGUUCUCAGCCUUCGUUAUCAUCAGGGAGCCAAAACGUUUGGUGUUGCAUACCAUCGAGACAAGGAUACCAAACCGUUGGCAGGAUAUGCCGAUGCUGACUACGGCGGCGAUGUGGAUGAUAUGCACUCCAUUUCCGGAGGUAGUGAAACCUGG